rnacentral:rRNA from 1 species
GAUGAACGCUGGCGGCGUGCCUAAUACAUGCAAGUCGAGCGAACAGACGAGAGUCUUUCCACUCUCUGACGUGAGCGGCGGGCGUGUGUGUCACAUGUGUGUAACCUCUCUAUGAGUCGGGUAUCAUCUCGGGAAACCGGCUCUUAUCCCGGAAUAUAUUUAGCUUCGUAUUUCACUAUAGUGAAAGACGUUUCUUCUCUCUUUUAUAUAGAUACCCGCGGCGUAUUAGCUAGUUGGUGAGGUAACGGCUCACCAAGGCAACGAUGCAUAGCCGACCUGAGAGGGUGAUCGGCCACACUGGAACUGAGACACGGCCCAGACUCCUACGGGAGGCAGCAGUAGGGAAUCUUCCGCAAUGGGCGAAAGUCUGACGGAGCAAUGCCGCGUGAGUGAAGAAGGUCUUCGGAUCGUAAAACUCUGUUAUAAGGGAAGAACAAAUGCGUAAGUAACUGAGCACGUCUUGACGGUACCUAAUCAGAAAGCCACGGCUAACUACGUG